UGGGGGAUAUUGCACAAUGGGGGAAACCCUGAUGCAGCGACGCCGCGUGAGUGAAGAAGUAUUUCGGUAUGUAAAGCUCUAUCAGCAGGGAAGAAGCAAGACGGUACCUGACUAAGAAGCCCCGGCUAACUACGUGCCAGCAGCCGCGGUAAUACGUAGGGGGCAAGCGUUAUCCGGAUUUACUGGGUGUAAAGGGAGCGUAGACGGUGAGGCAAGUCUGAAGUGAAAGCCCGGGGCUUAACCGCGGGACUGCUUUGGAAACUGUCUGACUGGAGUGCUGGAGAGGUAAGUGGAAUUCCUAGUGUAGCGGUGAAAUGCGUAGAUAUUAGGAGGAACACCAGUGGCGAAGGCGGCUUACUGGACAGUAACUGACGUUGAGGCUCGAAAGCGUGGGGAGCAAACAGG
rnacentral:rRNA from 1 species